rnacentral:rRNA from 1 species
UACGAAGGUGCAAGCGUUACUCGGAAUUACUGGGCGUAAAGCGUGCGUAGGUGGUGAGUUAAGUCUGUCGUGAAAGCCCCGGGCUCAACCUGGGAAUGGCGAUGGAUACUGGCUCGCUAGAGUGCGGUAGAGGGUGGUGGAAUUCCCGGUGGUAGCAGUGAAAUGCGUAGAGAUCGGGAGGAACAUCAGUUGCGAAGGCGGCCAC